rnacentral:rRNA from 1 species
GGAAUCGAUAACCGCUGAAAGCAUCUAAGCGGGAAGCGAGCCCUGAGAUGAGUCUUCCCUGACAGUUUAACUGUCCUAAAGGGUUGUUCGAGACUAGAACGUUGAUAGGCAGGGUGUGUAAGCGUUGUGAGGCGUUGAGCUAACCUGUACUAAUUGCCCGUGAGGCUUAACCAUACAACACCCAAGGGGUUUUGUA